UCCGGAGGGGGCUAUCGUUGUCCGGAAUUACUGGGCGUAAAGGGCGCGUAGGCGGCUUACCAAGUCCGAGGUGAAAUCCCGGGGCUCAACCUCGGAAGUGCCUUCGAAACUGGUAGGCUAGAGUGCGGGAGAGGGGAGUGGAAUUCCCGGUGUAGCGGUGAAAUGCGUAGAUAUUGGAAAGAACACCGGUGGCGAAGGCGGCUCCCUGGUCCGGUAGUGACGCUGAGGCGCGAAAGCGUGGGGAGAAAACAGG
rnacentral:rRNA from 1 species